rnacentral:lncRNA from 1 species
AAGAUCUACAGGAAUGUCUGUAUGAGUGAAACCAUUGGAUGACUCCUUAUAGCUACCAAAAAGCUACAAUAGAUCUACAUAAGUGGUACUAUGUAAUUAUGACUGGAACCAAUGGAAGACUACUUAACGGAGUUGUUACAUUUACAUGAUACCUUCUGUUCAACAUAAAGUUGAUAUGUUGGACUUUUAAACAACCAAAAUUACUGUUUAAAUGACAAUUACUUUAGUUUUAGUUGAUGGAUCUCUAUGAAGUUUAAGGGAGUGAUGGUCCAAACCGUUUAGAAAUAAGGGAUAAAAACACAUUUUCUAGUUUCAGGAAAAUAACUGGUUUACAAGUAUUUUGAUUGGUCAGAAAUUGUACCACAAGUUGAAGGUCGAGAUUCAAUUUGGAGGUGAUUGUGCAAAUUGUUCAGGAGUUAGGGGCCAAAAAGGAUAUGACAAGUAUCAAAUUUUACAAAAAGAAAAAUUCUACCAAAAAUAUUUUUUUGGGAAGUGGAUAAUUGUUACGCUUCUGCCCUUAUUUCAAAUCCAUAUAACAUUGUACUUACUGCAUUAAUUAUGUAAUUUUUAAGCACUAGCCG